rnacentral:misc_RNA from 1 species
GGAAGGAUCAUUGAUGCAUUUAUAUCAUUCAUAUGAUUUUAUAACCCCCUUUUUAUGAAGUGAACACAUAUAAAAAAACAUUUUUAUAUGUUUUCUACUUUUUAUUUUUUUAACACCUAUAUUUCUUUACAUCUUUUCUUCAUUUUAUUUUUUGUUCCUCUCUCUUUCUUUCUUUUUUUAAAAGAAAAGAAAAAAAGAAGAAGAAAAAAUAACACAGUAUAUAAAAACCAGAGACUACUUUCAACGACGGAUGUCUCGGCUCCUGUGCGGAUGAAGAACGCAGCGAAAUGCGAUACGUGAUGCGAAUCGCAACGAUCGGUGAGUCAUCUAAGUUUCGAACGCACCCUGCGCUCUCGGUACCCCCGGGAGCGCGUCUGUCUGAGCGUUGCCCUUUAACCCCCCUCAUUUUCUUUUUUCUUUUUCUCUUAAGAGAAAGAAACUUGUAAAAUGGAUUGUUGGGUGUUUGUUUCUCUCUUAAUAAAGAGAGAGGCAUCUCCCUAAUUAUAUCUUUUAUCUUUUUUUUCUUAUCUUUUAAGAUAUGAAAGAAAAUAUCUAUAUAAAUAAAAAGGAUAGCAAUCAUAGAAGUCUUUUUUCUUUCUAUUUUUUUAAUUUAUCGACAUGAUAAUGCUAAAAAAAACAUAUAAAGAAAAAAGAAGGUCUUUUGUUUAUCUAUUUUAUUUAUUUUUUUCAAGUAGUAUCCUUUUAAAAGAUAUUUUUUAAUGGACCAACCUCAGAUCAGGCGCCGCCACCCGCUGAACUUAAGCAUAUCAUUAAGCGGAGGAAGAGAAACCAACAGGGAUUCCCUUAGUAGCGGCGAGCGAACCGGGAAAAGCUCAAGCUCUAAAUCUGAACGGCCAUUAGCGCUGUUCCGAAUUGUAGUCUCGCAGGUGGACAUUGUUGGUGUUCCCCUCUGGAUUUAGAUCCCUUGGAACAGGGUGCCAUGGAGGGUGAGAGCCCCGUGUGACGAUCCAGAGCCAAAGGUGUAAAUGGGAACGCCGGUUAAGCAUUGUUCAUUUCCGGAGUCGGACUGCUCGGGAUUGCAGUCCCAACUGGGUGGUGGACCCCACCUAAAGCUAGAACACUGACAGGAGACCGAUAGCGGACAAGUACCGCGAGGGAAAGAUGAAAAGGACCCCGGGAGGGGAGUCAAAAGUGCCUGAAAUCGUUGAGAGGGAAGCGCUCAGGGACGAGGUAUUAUUUUGUUAUUUCCAGUAAUGAAUAUAAGCAACCCUUGGCAGUUGUCCGAUGAGAUGAUUUGGUUUUCUGUUGACCGGGAGGUUAAGAGUGUUGAACGAGGGGAGGGGGCUUGCUCCUUUUUGAGUUCGAUGCCUUACAUUCUUCUUCAAUCAAAAGGGGAUUAUCUCUUGUUUAUCCAACUGUUUAAGGUGAGUCGACAUCAGCUCUAUAUCUGAUGACGGAAGAGUGUGUGAUAAUUAACUGAUGUGUAGUAAGGGGCAACUCUUGCUGCGCGGUUGCAUGCUUGUUGUCGUCGGUGGGGCUGAGGAAUCCGCGCAGAAUGCAUGCUUUCGGGGUGACUCGGGGGCAGAGGGACACCAUUUCGGAGAGUCUGAUCGGGGGAGGGCCGGGAACCGGCGCUUUUCUGAUCAUAGGCGCUUCUUGAGUGGACUGUUUUCUAACCUCUAGUGCAUUAGCCGAUGUCGGCCGAGCGGCCCUGAGUGACCCGUCUUGAAACACGGACCAAGGAGUCCGACGCGCGCGCAAGCGUCGAGGGGGGCGAAGCCCCAGACACAUAGUGAAAGCGAGGCUUCCAAUCUUCGGAAAGGAAGCAAGGCAGGAGGAGAAACAAAGUGUCUGUUAUGGAUGUCUUGGGCUCCGCACUGUCGGCCGACCUGGAUUUUUUAGAAAGGUUCGAGCAGGAGCGCGCUCGUUGGGACCCGAAAGAUCGCGAGCUACGGACGGCCAGGACGAGGCCAGGGGAAACCCUGGUGGAGGUCCGAAGCGGUACUGACGUGCAAAUCGUUCGUCGGAGCUGCCCGUAGGGGCGAAAGACCAAUCGAGCGAUCUGGUAGCUGGUUCCCCC